AGUGAACGCUGGCGGUAGGCCUAACACAUGCAAGUCGAACGGCAGCACAGUAAGAGCUUGCUCUUACGGGUGGCGAGUGGCGGACGGGUGAGGAAUACAUCGGAAUCUACUUUUUCGUGGGGGAUAACGUAGGGAAACUUACGCUAAUACCGCAUACGACCUACGGCUGAAAGCAGGGGAUCUUCGGACCUUGCGCGAUUGAAUGAGCCGAUGUCGGAUUAGCUAGUUGGCGGGGUAAGGGCCCACCAAGGCGACGAUCCGUAGCUGGUCUGAGAGGAUGAUCAGCCACACUGGAACUGAGACACGGUCCAGACUCCUACGGGAGGCAGCAGUGGGGAAUAUUGGACAAUGGGCGCAAGCCUGAUCCAGCCAUACCGCGUGGGUGAAGAAGGCCUUCGGGUUGUAAAGCCCUUUUGUUGGGAAAGAAAAGCAGCAGGUUAAUACCCCGCUGUUCUGACGGUACCCAAAGAAUAAGCACCGGCUAACUUCGUG
rnacentral:rRNA from 1 species